AGGUGGUUUCGACGCAACUAGCUUAGAUGCUAGUAGAUGCAAAGCUCUAACCGUACCAUGGAACAAAUGUAGGACAAUCAGCACAAAGGGCCGGGGGUAAUCUUUGCUAAAGCUCCUUUUUCAGUUUCAAACCAAGAUAUGUGCUGCGGGCUAGUGGCCAAGCUGGUAUUACAUUAUUCUUGAACCGUUAAGAAAAUAUUCUUUGCAUGUGGUUUUAUACGAUUUACAUGGAUACAAAAGAAGUUU
rnacentral:lncRNA from 1 species